rnacentral:rRNA from 1 species
UACGGAGGGUGCGAGCGUUGUCCGGAAUUAUUGGGCGUAAAGAGCUUGUAGGCGGUUUGUCGCGUCUGCUGUGAAAAUCCGGGGCUCAACCCCGGACUUGCAGUGGGUACGGGCAGACUAGAGUGUGGUAGGGGAGACUGGAAUUCCUGGUGUAGCGGUGAAAUGCGCAGAUAUCAGGAGGAACACCGAUGGCGAAGGCAGGUCUCUGGGCCACUACUGACGCUGAGGAGCGAAAGCGUGGGGAGCGAACAGG